AAUCGUGCAUCUUCUUCCCCCCUCUUUUAUCUCUUUCCUUCCUCGCCGGUGAUCUUUUCAACAGAUCAAGAAGAGAGAGAGCGAACAGCAGAUUCACGAACACGAACAGAUCCUUGAAUUGAAAGGGGAGCAGGCGUGUGCCGACGUGCGAUGUCGCGUGGUCAACGCCCGCUCCUGAUUUUCUUUUUUCCUUUUUCUGUCCGGGUUUUGAAUAUUUCGCAAUUUCUUCGCAUUGA